rnacentral:rRNA from 1 species
UAUUGAUAUGACGAGCUUGCUCUGAUUUGAUUUUAUCUGACAAAGAGUGGCGAACGGGUGAGUAACACGUGGGUAACCUACCUCUUAGCAGGGGAUAACAUUUGGAAACAAGUGCUAAUACCGUAUAAUACCAACAACCGCAUGGUUGUUGGUUGAAAGAUGGUUCUGCUAUCACUAAGAGAUGGACCCGCGGUGCAUUAGCUAGUUGGUAAGGUAACGGCUUACCAAGGCAAUGAUGCAUAGCCGAGUUGAGAGACUGAUCGGCCACAAUGGGACUGAGACACGGCCCAUACUCCUACGGGAGGCAGCAGUAGGGAAUCUUCCACAAUGGGCGCAAGCCUGAUGGAGCAACGCCGCGUGUGUGAUGAAGGGUUUCGGCUCGUAAAACACUGUUAUAAGAGAAGAACGGCACUGAGAGUAACUGUUCAGUGUGUGACGGUAUCUUACCAGAAAGGAACGGCUAAAUACGUGCCAGCAGCCGCGGUAAUACGUAUGUUCCAAGCGUUAUCCGGAUUUAUUGGGCGUAAAGCGAGCGCAGACGGUUAUUUAAGUCUGAAGUGAAAGCCCUCAGCUCAACUGAGGAAUGGCUUUGGAAACUGGAUGACUUGAGUGCAGUAGAGGAAAGUGGAACUCCAUGGGU